UAAGGAAUAUUGGUCAAUGGACGCAAGUCUGAACCAGCCAUGCCGCGUGAAGGAUGAAGGUCCUCUGGAUUGUAAACUUCUUUUAUCUGGGACGAAAACGGGAUUUUUAUCUCAAUUGACGGUACCAGAGGAAUAAGCACCGGCUAACUCCGUGCCAGCAGCCGCGGUAAUACGGAGGGUGCGAGCGUUAUCCGGAUUUACUGGGUUUAAAGGGAGCGUAGGUGGGCUUAUAAGUCAGUGGUGAAAUCUCCGAGCUUAACUUGGAAACUGCCGUUGAUACUAUAGGUCUUGAAUUAUCUGGAGGUAAGCGGAAUAUGUCCUGUAGCGGUGAAAUGCUUAGAUAUGACAUAGAACACCAAUUGCGAAGGCAGCUUACUACAUAUAAAUUGACGCUGAGGCACGAAAGCGUGGGGAUCAAACA
rnacentral:rRNA from 1 species